rnacentral:rRNA from 1 species
AGCGUACACGGUGGAUGCCCUGGCAGUCAGAGGCGAUGAAGGACGUGCUAAUCUGCGAUAAGCGUCGGUGAGGUGAUAUGAACCGUUAUAACCGGCGAUUUCCGAAUGGGGAAACCCAGUGUGUUUCGACACACUAUCAUUAACUGAAUCCAUAGGUUAAUGAGGCGAACCGGGGGAACUGAAACAUCUAAGUACCCCGAGGAAAAGAAAUCAACCGAGAUUCCCCCAGUAGCGGCGAGCGAACGGGGAGGAGCCCAGAGCCUGAAUCAGUGUGUGUGUUAGUGGAAGCGUCUGGAAAGGCGUGCGAUACAGGGUGACAGCCCCGUACACAAAAAUGCACAUAUUGUGAGCUCGAUGAGUAGGGCGGGACACGUGGUAUCCUGUCUGAAUAUGGGGGGACCAUCCUCCAAGGCUAAAUACUCCUGACUGACCGAUAGUGAACCAGUACCGUGAGGGAAAGGCGAAAAGAACCCCGGCGAGGGGAGUGAAAAAGAACCUGAAACCGUGUACGUACAAGCAGUGGGAGCCUCUUAAUGGGGUGACUGCGUACCUUUUGUAUAAUGGGUCAGCGACUUAUAUUCUGUAGCAAGGUUAACCGAAUAGGGGAGCCGAAGGGAAACCGAGUCUUAACUGGGCGUUAAGUUGCAGGGUAUAGACCCGAAACCCGGUGAUCUAGCCAUGGGCAGGUUGAAGGUUGGGUAACACUAACUGGAGGACCGAACCGACUAAUGUUGAAAAAUUAGCGGAUGACUUGUGGCUGGGGGUGAAAGGCCAAUCAAACCGGGAGAUAGCUGGUUCUCCCCGAAAGCUAUUUAGGUAGCGCCUCGUGAAUUCAUCUCCGGGGGUAGAGCACUGUUUCGGCAAGGGGGUCAUCCCGACUUACCAACCCGAUGCAAACUGCGAAUACCGGAGAAUGUUAUCACGGGAGACACACGGCGGGUGCUAACGUCCGUCGUGAAGAGGGAAACAACCCAGACCGCCAGCUAAGGUCCCAAAGUCAUGGUUAAGUGGGAAACGAUGUGGGAAGGCCCAGACAGCCAGGAUGUUGGCUUAGAAGCAGCCAUCAUUUAAAGAAAGCGUAAUAGCUCACUGGUCGAGUCGGCCUGCGCGGAAGAUGUAACGGGGCUAAACCAUGCACCGAAGCUGCGGCAGCGACACUAUGUGUUGUUGGGUAGGGGAGCGUUCUGUAAGCCUGCGAAGGUGUGCUGUGAGGCAUGCUGGAGGUAUCAGAAGUGCGAAUGCUGACAUAAGUAACGAUAAAGCGGGUGAAAAGCCCGCUCGCCGGAAGACCAAGGGUUCCUGUCCAACGUUAAUCGGGGCAGGGUGAGUCGACCCCUAAGGCGAGGCCGAAAGGCGUAGUCGAUGGGAAACAGGUUAAUAUUCCUGUACUUGGUGUUACUGCGAAGGGGGGACGGAGAAGGCUAUGUUGGCCGGGCGACGGUUGUCCCGGUUUAAGCGUGUAGGCUGGUUUUCCAGGCAAAUCCGGAAAACCAAGGCUGAGGCGUGAUGACGAGGCACUACGGUGCUGAAGCGACAAAUGCCCUGCUUCCAGGAAAAGCCUCUAAGCAUCAGGUAACAUCAAAUCGUACCCCAAACCGACACAGGUGGUCAGGUAGAGAAUACCAAGGCGCUUGAGAGAACUCGGGUGAAGGAACUAGGCAAAAUGGUGCCGUAACUUCGGGAGAAGGCACGCUGAUAUGUAGGUGAAGCGACUUGCUCGUGGAGCUGAAAUCAGUCGAAGAUACCAGCUGGCUGCAACUGUUUAUUAAAAACACAGCACUGUGCAAACACGAAAGUGGACGUAUACGGUGUGACGCCUGCCCGGUGCCGGAAGGUUAAUUGAUGGGGUUAGCGGUAACGCGAAGCUCUUGAUCGAAGCCCCGGUAAACGGCGGCCGUAACUAUAACGGUCCUAAGGUAGCGAAAUUCCUUGUCGGGUAAGUUCCGACCUGCACGAAUGGCGUAAUGAUGGCCAGGCUGUCUCCACCCGAGACUCAGUGAAAUUGAACUCGCUGUGAAGAUGCAGUGUACCCGCGGCAAGACGGAAAGACCCCGUGAACCUUUACUAUAGCUUGACACUGAACAUUGAGCCUUGAUGUGUAGGAUAGGUGGGAGGCUUUGAAGUGUGGACGCCAGUCUGCAUGGAGCCGGCCUUGAAAUACCACCCUUUAAUGUUUGAUGUUCUAACGUUGGCCCGUAAUCCGGGUUGCGGACAGUGUCUGGUGGGUAGUUUGACUGGGGCGGUCUCCUCCUAAAGAGUAACGGAGGAGCACGAAGGUUGGCUAAUCCUGGUCGGACAUCAGGAGGUUAGUGCAAUGGCAUAAGCCAGCUUGACUGCGAGCGUGACGGCGCGAGCAGGUGCGAAAGCAGGUCAUAGUGAUCCGGUGGUUCUGAAUGGAAGGGCCAUCGCUCAACGGAUAAAAGGUACUCCGGGGAUAACAGGCUGAUACCGCCCAAGAGUUCAUAUCGACGGCGGUGUUUGGCACCUCGAUGUCGGCUCAUCACAUCCUGGGGCUGAAGUAGGUCCCAAGGGUAUGGCUGUUCGCCAUUUAAAGUGGUACGCGAGCUGGGUUUAGAACGUCGUGAGACAGUUCGGUCCCUAUCUGCCGUGGGCGCUGGAGAACUGAGGGGGGCUGCUCCUAGUACGAGAGGACCGGAGUGGACGCAUCACUGGUGUUCGGGUUGUCAUGCCAAUGGCACUGCCCGGUAGCUAAAUGCGGAAGAGAUAAGUGCUGAAAGCAUCUAAGCACGAAACUUGCCCCGAGAUGAGUUCU